UAGGGAAUCUUCCACAAUGGACGCAAGUCUGAUGGAGCAACGCCGCGUGAGUGAAGAAGGUUUUCGGAUCGUAAAGCUCUGUUGUUGGUGAAGAAGGAUAGAGGUAGUAACUGGCCUUUAUUUGACGGUAAUCAACCAGAAAGUCACGGCUAACUACGUGCCAGCAGCCGCGGUAAUACGUAGGUGGCAAGCGUUGUCCGGAUUUAUUGGGCGUAAAGCGAGCGCAGGCGGAAGAAUAAGUCUGAUGUGAAAGCCCUCGGCUUAACUGAGGAACUGCAUCGGAAACUGUUUUUCUUGAGUGCAGAAGAGGAGAGUGGAAUUCCAUGUGUAGCGGUGGAAUGCGUAGAUAUAUGGAAGAACACCAGUGGCGAAGGCGACUCUCUGGUCUGCAACUGACGCUGAGGCUCGAAAGCAUGGGUAGCGAACAGG
rnacentral:rRNA from 1 species